rnacentral:rRNA from 1 species
CAAGGAAUAUUGCACAAUGGGGGGAACCCUGAUGCAGCAACGCCGCGUGGGCGAUGAAGGCCUUCGGGUUGUAAAGCCCUUUUCUAGAGGAAGAGACAAGGACGGUACUUUAGGAAUAAGUCUCGGCUAACUACGUGCCAGCAGCCGCGGUAAAACGUAGGAGACGAGCGUUAUCCGGAUUUACUGGGCGUAAAGGGCAAGUAGGCGGUAAGCAAAGUUGGGCGUGACAUCUCUCGGCUUAACUGGGAGGGGUCGUCCAAAACUAGCUAACUAGAGGGCAGGAGAGGGGAGUGGAAUUCCUAGUGUAGCGGUGGAAUGCUUAGAUAUUAGGAAGAACACCAGUGGCGAAGGCGACUCUCUGGCCUGACCCUGACGCUGAGAGGCGAAAGCUAGGGGAGCGAACGGG